rnacentral:rRNA from 1 species
UGGGGAAUAUUGCACAAUGGGGGAAACCCUGAUGCAGCGACGCCGCGUGAACGAAGAAGGUAUUCGUAUCGUAAAGUUCUGUCCUAUGGGAAGAUAAUGACAGUACCAUAGAAGAAAGCUCCGGCUAAAUACGUGCCAGCAGCCGCGGUAAUACGUAUGGAGCGAGCGUUGUCCGGAAUUAUUGGGCGUAAAGGGUACGCAUGCGGUUUAAUAAGUCGAAUGUUAAAGAUCGGGGCUCAACCCCGCAAAGCAUUGGAAACUGAUAAACUUGAGUAGUGGAGAGGAAAGUGGAAUUCCUAGUGUAGUGGUGAAAUACGUAGAUAUUAGGAGGAAUACCAGUAGCGAAGGCGACUUUCUGGACACAAACUGACGCUGAGGUACGAAAGCGUGGGGAGCAAACAGG